GACUUUUUGAUAGGGCCUGUUUUGCCUGUUUGCGGCCAUCUAGAGAGUAUUCUUCAUACGCAUGUGAUUUGGUUCAAAAUGGUGGAAAAAAAGAGCCGGUCAACCCAAUGUUUACUGUGGCUGGAAUUUUUUCUCUUGGAUAGUUCUGUUGAGUUCAGUACCUAAAAACCUGAAAUGAGAGCGCUCGGACAAUGUGAAGUUUGUCGCAUAGACGGGGAUUGACCGCCUUUGUACAUAUAUGUCUACAGCUUCUCAGAUUUGACCGAAGACAGUUGUUCGGUGUUGUGAAUGGAUGUUGUUCGGCCGAAGGCCUUCCAGUCACACAGAAGAUCCUGGUUCGGUCACACGAAGGGUCACUUCCAUUGAUAUUAGUCACAGGAAAAAUUAGGAGCACCAGUUGUAGUUUCUCAGGUUGAUAUUUAUUAAGGUUUUUGCUGAAAUUAAGCCAGUUUGGAACAUUCAGCAGGCACUGAUGUACAUUAAAAUCAUUCUUUAUAGAGAUAGGGGCUGUUUUGCCAGAAUGCUCAGCUGUGAUACACAGUGUAAGAUUUUGUGCAGUGUAAAUGGUCAUGGUGUGCAUGUUUCAUUUACAGAGUGCACUGAAUGCCUGUAAACUGUAAGAUUUGAGUGAAAUAUUCAUUCCAGAAAGACUCAUAAGCUUUUUAGUAGGCUCACAUAUUGGAUUUUUCAGAGCUGUUUGGCUCAUUUUACCUAGGGUAGCCAUAAAUGAAUGAUCACUGAAAAGUAUAUGACACAUAUAUGUACAAAAGCUAUUCAUUCUCAUAUUUGCCACAUACUGGGCUGCUUAAAAAUGGCAAAUUUGACAGCUACAGGAUUUUUCUUAGUUCACAUUUUACUUUUUCGUGUGAGUAGACUCCGCGUUUUGACGUGCUUUUUGUAAUAUGAUUAGUUUUCCUUAAAAUUGGAACAGUGAUAUUGUAAUCAGACUUGAAGUGGCUCUUAAUUUGGAUAGAUGUAUAUUAAGGAAACAUGCUGUUUUUUAUUUUGGGUGAAAAUCUCAUCAAACAAAAAAGUUAUAGAAUUUUGCGUUUUUUUCAUCUGAAAAGUACGCGAACUUUUUUUUUGCUCAGAUUUGACCGAUACCAUGUGUAACAUUGGAAGCUGUCAAAUUUUAGUGCAUAGUUCAACAAAGGUGUAACUUUCAGAUUUAAUUUGCUAUACAUCUGAGAUUAUACUGGUAAAAUAUUUUUUUAGUUUGGAGAGAAA